rnacentral:lncRNA from 1 species
UGCUGCGUCUUCCUUUCCACAAUCAACGCUUCCAUCUCCUCCUUCGCAAUCUCUCCUCCUUUGCCUCUAAAACUACCAUUUUCAUGACCUCCAAACACUUCCUCCCUUCCCCUCUGCCGCCUCAAACCCUUUCUCCUAAACACUUCUCCACCCCCUCGAAACGCCUCCUUCCCUCUUUUCCUUCCAAACCCAUCCCCAAAAACCAUUCUCUCUCGCUCAGGACUAAUGGGUUUUAUUCUCUUCCUUCUCCCAGUGUUUCUUCUCCCUCUCCAGGUACUUUUUAUUUUCUGUAAAUACAGGGAAAAAAAGGCUGUUGCUUGGUUGUUUAUUCAGUUAUUUUUCUUUUUUUUUCUUGAAAAAGCCAAAUAACAGAAGAUGUAUUUAUGUGUCUAUGCGUGCUGACACUUAUAUAGGUGCAUUCAAUUGUACUUAUUGGAAGGCUUACCAGAAUUCCUUUUGUUUAUCUCUAAACUUAUUCUCAAGACGUGGAAGACCAGCCCUCGGAUACGCGUAGCUUGCAGAUUUUGAAUCAUAAACUAAAGCAGCUUGGCAUCGAUAUUACUGAGUGUGUUGCUGGGCGUGAAAACCGCUUAAUGUGUCCCUCGGUAUUUUCUUUUAACAAUAUUGUCAGCUUUGCUGCAUUUCCACAUUAGUUUGAUUAAGUUUUGCCAAUCUAAUUGAGCUAGUUUGCUAUUACACAGUCCCACUUCUUGGUAGUUGUAAUCCAGAUGAUAUGUCAGAGAUACCAGACUAUAAUUGGCUUAAUCAAAAUCUUGCCUUUGAUGGAUAUUUGAUUGUUUUUAGAAAAGAUGUGCUUAGAAACCAAGCAAAACAUGCACAUAUUAUGGUAAAUUUGAAUGUAAAUAAAAGUUUUUGGUAAAUAGAGCUAAUUGAAGAGUCAAAACUAUUGACAGACAUUAGUGCACUUCAGCAACAGAAGUAAUGGGCAGUUAUGCCUUUCGACAUGUAGUGCUCCUUGAAUAUUCAUAGAUGGAUGGAUUCUUUCUUUUGAAAAGUUAAAGAUUUUUUAUUUUAUUUAAGUACAUGAUAUAUUAGUCUUUCUGAAAAUGCUGGAAGAAAACAAAGCAUUUAAAACAAAUUGCCGACUGGUUUGUUACACAUGGAAUUAGUCAGCUCAAGGAAUUUCCUACAGGAAUAUAUUAUUGUGAACAUAAAUGAGUUCCCUGAUAAACUAGAAGAUAAAAUAACUUCAAAGCUUUUUGGUAUUUAUUAUUAUGGUAGAUGGUCUUUUAAACAUCUUUUUACAAAAGAAAAAUCUUUGCUACAAGUUAAAAAGGAUAAACCUUUUAAACGGAAAGAAAAAGAAUCUGUGAUAAUAAAAGAAGAAAAAGAAAACGAAUAAAAAACAAGAAAAAAAAUCAGAAAUAGACAAUGUACCCAUGAUAUAUAAACUGAAACAAGGUGAUCAACUAAUGUUAGAAACAAUAUUAUAAAUGCUGGCUGAAGAAAGUAGAAGUAAUUAAGAGAUAUGUCACUUUUUAUAUCCUGUCUCUCCAACAAAAUUUACAUCCUACAGCCUAUUCCAACUUAGUAAUUUGCCUAAUCAAAAUAUGCUCCUGCAUGAAAAUCAUUCAGAUGGCUAAGUUUGUUUCAGGUAUUGUUUUUUGUUCUCUUUCUCUAAGUUGAUAUUCUUGUAUGAUAGUGCAAUGGUGGUAAAUCAGGGGAACUUAGCUUAUCUCUUUUCAUCAACCUACAUGGGUAUGCUACAUCUUAAUCUUUCUCUUUGAACUAUUUCUUUUUAAUUCUAGAGGGUCACCAAACCAUAGUGUUGAUAUAUCUAAUUUAUAGGUAUUCAGCUUCAUGGCUGUGUUUUCGAGCGAAAUGUGGGUGGAAAGGCUACAAAAAAGUAAUUUGUUUCUACUCUCAGAUUGAUUUAGCAGUUUUUAUGUGUCUAUAUGAAAUAUAAGUGUCUCUCUUAUUGCCCUUUGGUUUUAAGCCGCUGCAGAUGGCAAGCCAUCAAUUGAAAAUCUCGGUCGAGUUAACAAAGUUAAGUUCAAAAGGCAAAUCACAGUGGAGAGUUUGCAAUUAGAACCACUAUGUAAUCAGGUUGCUAAUUUCUCCCUUUUCUAUAGUUUGUUCACUGAGGUUAUAUUGAUUUAGAUGUCAGUAACGUCUUUGCUCCAUCUUACAUGCAGUUAGGCUUGUAGCUUUUCCAUUCAGCAUUUAAGCUUGUUUAUUCCUAGUGCAGAGUAAUAGAUUUUUUUUUUUUUUUGGUGCUGUUGAGUUUAUUCUUACAAUUCCUUUAUCAAUACAAAAUUUCCAAUAGUUAGAUGUACCUAAAAUAACUAGUUUAUUUUUCAUUUUGUUUUUCUUAAAUGCCUUUUGAGCUUUUCAUGAAGAAACAAAUUACUACAAAUUUUACUUCAAACUACUUUGCUUACAGUAUGAACCCCAUGUCAUAUGUUUACUGCACAUGUGAAUUGCAGUUCUCAAUCUAAAGACAAUAUUUCUGUUAUGAUUAAGCUGCUAAAAGGCCUGUUAAACCUGUGUAUCAACAACUCCUGCUAUUGUCUUUUUUUUUUUUUUUUUUGAAAAACUGUGGUUGGGAAGAUGAAGAGAAGAGUUGAUAUGAUGCACCUAAGCCAUAAACCCUCUGCCCUAUAUAAUCUCAAACAGAAUUUGAAAAAGAAAUAGGAAACAUUGCUUUUGCCCUGUCAUCGUUCACUUGACAAGUGUGAUAUUUUACAGUACUGCUUAAACAUAAAUUUGUGCAAAUAUGCCUACUAGUUCUGUGUUUGUUUCUGUCAAGCCGUCACUCUAUUGGAAGGUAGCGUGCUAGGCAUCUGAAUCUUCAUUCUAUCCAUCAAUUAUCAGAAAAGCUAAAUGUUUCUCAACAUUAUUUAAAUUGAUAAAUGAAACAGAAAAUGUUGAUGUGUUGCUUGAAUUCAAAAUGCUAAUGUUCAGUUGCAUUGUAAGAUAAACUUCUUGGUUUACUUGUCAGCAUUCUUUCUUCUGGUUUAAGUUCCAAUUUAGCGAAUUGUGAUUCUUUGACUGGGUUAUCCAUGUACAAUUAAUUGCUGCAAUGCAUGAACCUUAGUUAAUAUAUAUAAUUUUUGCUCUUGUUUCAGCUCACUGCUUAUUUCGCAGAGCGAAUGAUAUCUUCAGAAACACUAAAGAGAAAUGCUAUAAUGCAAAAAAGGAGUGGUAAUAAGGUAAUUAUCAAUCUUUUUUCUUGUAAGUAUAAGCUUAGGGUGCUGACUACACGGAGUAAGUCUUAACUUGUAGCUUUCAGUGUGCUUUUGAGAUAGAUUCUGCGCAGGAAGUACUUUUGUUGCAUACCCUAUGGUUGUCCCAAAGUCCACCCUUCUUCGGUAAUUUCAGGUUUACUUCUAAAACAAAGUACAAUUUGAACACAUUGAUUGGUUUAAAACGGGUCAAAUUUUGCUAUCAGACCUUGUACUUUGUGUAAGUUGUGUAUUUAGUACCUGUCCUUUAAUUUAAUCAAUUUUAGACCCUGUACUUCUCGAGUUUUGAAAUUUUAGUCCUAACCCAAUGGUAACAAUUAAGUCUGUUUGGUUAAAUUAUGUCAUUAGUCCCGUAUUAUGCGUGAACUUUUAGAUUUAGUCCAUGUUCACCAAUUGGGUCAUUCUUAGUGGCUAUUUUUUUUUUAAUUUCAAAGUUUCACUCUUAAUACAAAUGAUAGUCGUUAAAUCUAUUAAAUGAUUUUUUGUGAGUAAUAUAUGAAAAUAACAAAAAGAAAAAUAUGGCAUUACACAUGUGAUAAUAUGUUUGACACAUCAAAAUUUUAAAAUAAUAGAACUUAGCUUAAUGAAUUUAAUAGCUAUCAUUUGGUUACAACUAAAAUUUUCAAGUUCUAAAACUACAGGGACUGAAAAUGACCAAAUUAAAGUAUAGGUACUAAAUCUACAACUUACUCAAAGUACAGGGUCUAAUAGCCGUAUUUGACCAUUAAAAAGAGUACUAGUGAUUAGGUUUCUUCUUCUUAUAGCCUUUUGGCAUCCUUCUUGCUUCAAGAUCUUGAGAAUCGGCCCCAUGUUUUUUAUUAACAUUAAGAUAUUGAUGAAUGUUCGUUGUUAUAAAGAGCGGUGAGAAGAUAUGAUUCCAACUGAUGCAGGAGGGAUUUGGGGAAACGUUAAACUACUUAGAUUUUAGGGUCAGUUAUGAGUAGAAAUUGGGCAUUAUUAGGGUUUAUUUAGGGAUAAUGCCAUAAUGGUUGAAUUAGAUUUGAUUUGAUUGAGGAUUAACAGAAAAUUUUUUGCAUUUGAAGACACAAAGUUGCUGGUAACUCUGGUGGCAACAGGAAGAUCAUGGGUUAGUUUCUAACUAGAUGGGUUUGACUGGUGUGUAUUCAUAUGUGAAUAUGGGAUUAUUGGGUAACCAUUAUGGUGAAAUUAUAAAAAUAAAUAUGAUUUAGAUUGCAGAGAAGGGAAAAACUAGUCUCGAAGAAGAGUUUCAGGUGCUAGGAACUGCUACUUGCGAAUAAUGCUGCCAAACUGAGGGAGUAGUAGACAAUGCUGCAGACCAUCCAUUUUAGUAAACCAAAUAAUUUAAUACUUUAUUAAACCAAAGCUUGAUAUUUUUAAGAGAACACAGAUAUUUAUAACAAUUGCUAGAUUCAUUCUUAUACAUCUCAAAACUAUUGUUUUUUUGGAGAAUAACUAGUACAUAAGAAAAUAACCAACUUGGACUCCUAAAAACCUAACUCCUAGAAGCUCCUAGCAUAAUCUAAAUACAAGAAAACUUCAUUCCAUGGUUCAUGAUUUGCGGAAAUUAUGGUUCUUCCUCUCUAUAUGGAAAUAAUUGGAAUUACAAAGUGAAAUCUAAAUUUUUAAUAGUGACAUUAUAAAGCAAAUCUCCUUCUGUGGCAGCCACUGAAGCCUUUGGCAUGUUGGCUGGUCUACCUUACCUUGUUAGUUGGGAGGGUGUAUUUAUUUUAUUAUAAACAACUGUUUUUUCAUAUUAAUAAGGUUAAGGUUUUAAGAUUUCAAGGUUAAUGUUUUAAGAUUUCAAGGUUAAUGUUUCAAAUUUUGUUUCUUAAUGUAAUCAAUGCAAAACAAUUGCUUUAUUUUUUUUAGCUAAUUACUCUUAAAAUUUGUUGACAGAUUGCUAUUGCAUUCACUUAUUGGCGUAAAGGAGAACUUGUAAAUUGCAAGUAUCGGGAUCUAGCUAAGCGGUUUUGGCAGGUUCUUGUGAAAUGUUUUCCCCUGUUUAUAUUGUUAAUAUAGUAUGUUCACUUGGAAUUUGAAUUCAUUAUCCCAUAGACAUUUAUAUUGAACAUCGUAUGCUUUACUCUUGGAGCUUUCAUGUAGUUUGGAGGGCACAUUUUUUAGAUCUUUAUGUUAAAAAUAAUCUUUGAUUAAAAUCUUAUUUUACUCUUCAUCAAUUACAGGAAAAGAAUACUGAAAAGAUACUUUAUGGGCUGGAUGAUAUAGCAGAUGCAAGUGAUAUCAUCAUUGUAAUUCUUCGUAACUCUCUGCAGAAGAUUUAUUCCUGUUCUAUGUUUAGUUGAUGCAUAUUAUUUCAGCUUGUUAUCAUAGGUUGAAGGUGAAAUGGACAAGCUUGCAAUGGAGGAAGCUGGCUUCCGUAAUUGUGUCAGUGUCCCUGCUGGUGCACCACCAUCAGUUUCUAAAAAGGAGGUUCCAGCUGAAGAGCAGGUUUCAUUUGAAUUUAAUACUCCAUAUUAUUAGCUUCUCUGAAUAGCAGUAUUACAAAUUUGUGGUCAGCCAUCAUAUACUAAGUAGAUUUUCAACAUUAAUGUUUCAACUAUGAUAUAGGGAGAAUCCUCUCCAAUGAAGAUCCUUUUGUCUCUAUCUCUCCUCAUGCAUGCAUACCAUAUAAGCAAUUUUCCAAUUUGAGAUAUGGAGUGGCAUAGUCAGUUAGAUAUUAAUAAGAAUCAUUUACAUUUUGGCACAUGAGAGUAAAUGUGCAUAUUUUACUUGGUGGAUUGCCUGCUUACAUCUCUUAAGCUAAAUAGUAUGUGAUGAAAUACGUUUUAUGGAUUGCUUGUCUGUGAUAAAAUAAGUUUUAUGGGUUGCUUGUUAUGUUCUGCUUACAUCUCUUAAGCUAAUAGUAUGUGAUGGAAUACGUUUUAUCGAUUGCUUGUCUGUGAUAAAGUAAGUUUUAUGGGUUGCUUGUUAUGUUUUGUUUAUGGAUAGUGUAGUUUAUGGAGCUAGCAGUCCAUUAUUAUUGUUGCAACUGUAUUUGCUUAGUUUUUUGUAUAUUAUUUACUUAGUCAGUCUGGCCUCUAAUAAUGUGGUUAGUUAAACCAACAACUUCCUGCCUCGAGAGUUGAGAAAUUCCUUUACUUGGAAAUUCAAUUGAUAGCUGCUUGUGUAUUCUUCAACAGCAAAGCAAUUAAUGAUGCAUGUGUCUAGGUCCAGCAGAAUGCUUUGGAGGUUAAAAGUUAGGGGUUUUGAGAAAGAGUAAAAAUUUAAUCCUAGACAAACACGCAAACAAAACAAUAGUUAGAUCCUGUAUUCAGAACAUGUAUCUCCUCAUUUUUCUCACUCAUUAUCAAAUUAUAAAAUUGUUCAAUCCUGGCAAGCAACUGGGCUCUGUUUAUGUACCCACCCCUGUUUCAUCUAUAGGAUAACCAUGUUUGACCAAAAUGAGAAUUGAAAAAAUAUGGUUAACUCAUAUUAACAAGAAAUUACCAGCCAGAUAACAACUUAUAUAGGUACAAACCUAAGAUAGACUUAACCAUGCUCAAAUACUGAAAAUCGUGUCUGAACCCUUGGAUCUAUGCAUGAGUUCUAGCUCACAGUUGGGUGAUAAAACCUGCUCUUCUGGGCUUUGUAUUACAUUCACUAGAUACUGCCAGCUGCCUUUACAACAUUGACACUCUGUUUGGUAGAAAGGAUGGAAAUAAUCGAGGAAAAAAGUCUACUACAAAAAUAGAGUUACAAAAUAGCAAAUGUUGUUAUGAAUAUCAACCAUCAGACUAAAAACAAUUUUUGUUCUCCCUACUAAAUAAAGUCUUAUUGGUUAGCAAUUGUAAGCUAUUUGGAGUUAAAUUCAUAAGUAGGUGCUGUUUGUGAAGGCAAUUUAAUGUUUAUAAAGUUUUGGGAUUGAACAGCAUUCUACCAGCUGAAGUGUAUUUUUAAUGCUGUACUAGUCCGGUCUCUACAUGGUUCCUCUUUUGUACCUGUAUUAGAACCUUGCUUUCUUUAAACUUCGUCAAACAUGUAAUAUAUGGCUGUAUGAUGAUGAAAGUAUUUAUGACAUACGGUUCUGUUUCUCCUACUUUUGUUGAGGAUCACUAAAGAAAAUAGGAGAUGGUUAGUGAGUGUGAAGUGGCACAGCAAAAUAGAAUGCACUGUUCUGAAUUUAGAAAAUUACUGUUUGAAUAAAAUUUCUUUUGUUCACAAUAUUUUGUAAAUUUGCAAUAACAAUGUCGAUAAUGAUGCAUGAUCUGGCCUUGGUUUUUCUUCCAUCACUUUCCCUCUGUCCUAAAUUAAGGUUCAUUUAAGUCAAAACGAAUGGAAUGAGAAAAUUGUUUCCAUUUUGGACGAUAUAGUAUAACAUUAUUAUUUUCAUCGAUAUGCAAGUAUAAACGUCAUUCUAAAGUUUCAUUCAUGUGUUUUGAAAUCUAGGACACAAAGUAUCAAUACCUGUGGAACUGCAAAGAGUACUUUAAAAAGGUUUGCUGGGGUUUAUUUUUUGGGGCUUCCUUGUAAUGUCUUCAUGAACAUGGCUCUAGGUUUUGAUAUGCAUAUAUUGUAGGCAUCUCGCAUUAUACUUGCCACUGAUGGAGAUCUACCUGGUCAAGCCCUAGCUGAAGAGCUUGCACGUCGCCUUGGAAGAGAAAGGUUUAAAUGAUUUUGUUGUAGUGCUGAAUAUAUUGAAAACUUAUCUUUUUUUCUGUUCCUUUAUUAUUGUUGUUAUCUGUGCUUAUUUAAAAGAAAAAAAACUAUGCUUUAACUGCAUUUCAGCAUAAAUAUUUGCCUUCUGUGGGUGACAGAUGCUGGAGAGUUAAAUGGCCGAAGAAAAAUGACGUGGGUCAUUUUAAGGAUGCAAAUGAGGUGAUACACAUUUAUCUUUAUACCUAGUUGUUGACUAAUUUUAAAAUAAAAGUUUUUUAUCUUUAAUUUAAUGUCAGUCAGAAUGAUUUGAAGAUUACUUGUCAUUUCUAGUAAACUGAACAUUAGUUGAUAAUAAAAGUUGAGGAUGUGGUACAAAAAGUUAUGCUUCCUUAACAAGGGCAACGAUUCUUAGAGUUCACAUCUAGGGUUGAUUGGAUCAUAUAAUCAAAAGCAACAAUGCUGGGAAUUUUCUUGUACUGAACUACAUCUCAAUAGCAACAGCACAUUGACUUGAGUAUAUACUUCUAGCAGUCUUAAUCUUAAACAGUUAGACUCCUAUUCUGAUUAGGAUUUUGAUAAAUGCUUGGACUUGAGUAGAAAACUAGCAAACAUAACUAUCAAAACCAAACUUUCUAGAUGCAAAUUCUGAAAUUUCCUGCUAACCAGAAUAUUAGAAAUACACUCUUGACACUUAAAACUAAGAACCAGAAGAAUAAAAUAACAACGUAAAAUUUUAACUCAAAUGCACUUAAUAUGAGACCCAAAAGCUUUAGUCAGGUACCCAAAACUUCUUAUGACUUCAAAAUUGAGUUUUGAACAUUUGAAGCAACCUUUGAGUGCUGACAUGCCUUCGAAGCACCUUUGAGGCUACCAAGUUGCAGAUAAAAUUUUAUUCCAAAAUCAGAUGUUCUCACUGACAGGCUCUUAAUUGUGAUUACAGGUUCUUAUGUAUUUGGGACCCAGCGUUCUUAAGGACAUAAUUGAUAAUGCCGAAUUAUAUCCCAUUCGUGGGUUAUUCAACUUUAGUAGUUUCUUUGAUGAAAUUGACCAAUAUUAUCAUCAAAAUGUUGUGUAUGAAUUUGGUGGAGAUACGACCUACCAGAGCUCGGGAGAGAAGCGUUAGUAUCGUGUACAAUAACAACUAUGGAAAAUGUGUGCACUUAUUUUAUAACUCUAAAAUAUGGAGUUAUUUCUAGCACUUUUUACCAUGUAAACUACGUAAAUUCUGGGUUGUUGAUGGCACGUUUUGGUAGUUUUUAUCUGUAAUAUAAAUUUAAUAUUAUGAAAAUGUGUUAUUUUAAAUGGACUCAUUGCGAAAAGACAGCAGGAAGUCAAGUGCUGGGUUGAUAUGUUAUCUCUGGAAGCCCCAAAAAUAUUUAUUGGGCUUUGGAAUCCAUUUGGGCUCAACUCUAAAGGAAAAUAACACCUUGGACAGCCUACUAAGGAGAUGGAGGCUCAAACCAUCCACAAGGUGGCCCAAGCCGUCGAUCCAAAGGUAAAAUAGUUCACAAGACCCUUUCUUCAGUCACGACAACUACCAGUGGAGGGGGACGGCAUCUUCCUCCUCCAAAAAAAACAAAUUCAUCCACUCUUCUUCCACUACUCAAGGGUCGGCCACACAAGUGAGAUUUUCAAGGGAUUCCCAUGUUAUUUUUAGCAUGGGAUGUUGGGGCUACUCCACUAUAAAUAGGGCAUCCAUCCCUCAUUCAUCCCAUAUCUGGAUUUUCUUCCCACUUCUUGAGCACUACACCUGAGAGAAGAAACAUAAGUUUUAGAGAAGCAAAGCAGUAAGGUUUUGAGAGUUGUCAGAAUCCGCAUUGAGAGAAAUUUUUUGCAACGGAGCAAAGGAGGAGCAACACUAGUCAAAGAAGUCAACAAUAUCGGCUUCUAAUUUGUUUCUUCUACUCUUUUACUUUUGUUGAAGUACUGCAAUUUAUUCUUUUGCUUUCAAUUCAAUGUUUAUGGCUUAAUUUUGUCGAAGUUAAGUUAAUUGUAAUUUCUUGAUUUAUUUUGUUUAUAUUUUGUUAAUGUUGUUCUGGGCAUUGCUUUGUUUACCAAUUCAAAUAAAACCAUGCUCAGUGCGAAAAACAUUUGAGCUAAUUAUUUAAUAUAAUUAGGGGACACAAUAUUUAAAUAGUGAAUGUUUGAUUUCUCAGAAAUUAAAUUAGUAAUGGCAUUUAACAAUAUUGUUACAACUUGAUCAUAUAAAUAUGCUAAAGAGAAUGUUGAAAAUUUUGAUUUUAUCACUUUUGAUUCUGGGUUAAUAAAUAAUCAAUUUGUCAAUGGAUUGACGUAACAUUACUAACAAUGGUUUUAAUAUUUUUAAAUUAAGGGAAAGUAAUUAAUCUUGCUCAUUCAUGUAAUAUUAAUUUAAUCUUGUGCUUUGUUGAUUUGUAUUUCAUUUCUCAUUGUGCAUUUAGGGUUUUUAAAUUAGGUAAAUUAUUUACUAAAUUCAUUUUUAUUUAUUUCCAUCCCCAACUUGUUAUUUAAUAAUUUAAUUUUUUUUCUUUCAUAGACAAUGUCUAUGGAGACUGUACUCGUUACUCACUAAUGACGAUUGCAUAUACUUGUACAUCAUUCAAUUAAUUUUGUGAUAGAAUUCAAAUCACCAACCAAGGCAUAUAUAGCCUUUACUUUGUAAUUGUGGUAUCACUUGGCCUAACCGUUCAUGACUCUCUACGGAGGUUGUGGACAAAACCCCAACACAUAGACAAAUUUUUUUCUUGAGUGGUUUGUUGGCUCCCAAGCGGACGAUAGUUCAAAAACGUUUCCCAAGAGAGAGUUCGACCUCCCCUCAACACAUUCCCAUAGCCGAGAGAAAGUAACUCCUAAAGGAAUGUUUCAUUCUUAAGAAAAUAUAUUUUAGCAUACUUGUUGCGGGAAUCAUUCUCCCACCAAUUAAAUUUCUAGGAAAGUGACUACUUUUUAUCAUUUUAAACUUUAUAAAUUUACUUAUUUUAAUUAAAUAAAAUAAUUUGAUCUAAAAUUUUUUAAGGAAAAACAAAUUGAUCUAAUAAAUUAAUUGAAUUCAGACUAAUUCGCUAUAUUUUCAAUAACACCCAAAAUUGUUGAUAUCUCAAUCAAAGUUACAAUAAAUAAUUUUCAAUAUUAGUAUUGUCAAAUAGACAAGGCAAAAAAAUUUAUCCAACCUCUCAAAUUCGAAAUUGAGUAAAUUAACACCUCCCAAAUAAAAAAUAGAACAAUAUAAUCAGUGCCAUUUUUUAGGGUGAGCAAGUUAUAACUAUAAGAAACACGAUAACAAUUUUACGUGGCAACAAAAAAAAUAAAAAAUGAAAACUUAUUUUAACAUAUAAUUUCAAUUUAAAAUCUUACUCUAAACAUGGUGGACACUUACACACUGUUUCAUUAGAAUAGCCAUUUCCCCUUAUUCUUGGAUCAACAAUGAAACUUGAAUUUGAUUCAGCCAAUGAAUUAUUCAACAAAAUCCUAUUUCUUUCCUAUUUUUCAAAUUUACCAAAUCAUCAUUCAAUGGAAUGUACUAAGAACAGUUUAUUCAUCAAUGGAAGUAAUACCAACAUUUUGAUUUACACAAUUUCACCCUAUAUCUUGUUAAUUUUACUCAUCAUUUUCUUCUUCCUUCCUUGCAUCAAUUUUUUGAAUUUGAAAAAUAAAACUAGAAUCGAAUUCUGUUGCCUCUUAUUUUUAUUUUUAAUUUAACACAUCAUUCUUUUCUCCUCUCCAUCAAUUUUCAAAAUAAAAUAAAAAAUCCAUUUCCAACCGUAGAUAUGUAAAAUGAAUUUAGAGAGGGAGUUUUCUUACUCAUUUUUUAAUAGAUAACUUAAAAAUAAGAGGAACACAAGAAAAUGAGAAAAUAGCUUUAAUAUGAGGCAUUUGUCGCAAUUGAAAUGAUGGAUAAGUGUCACUGAUGGUUAACUAUUGUAAUUGGAUUUGAAUCAUGGAAAGGAUUAAAUGGAGAAAAUGAGUCGUUAAAAGAGAGAUAAAAUAGUUUGGGGAGAAAAAUAGAUAAGAGAAAAAAAAUCCAAUUAAAACAAUGGUAGAAGUCACUAUAUAUAUAUAUAUUUGUGGAUCCUCACUUAUGAAUAUUAAGAAAAAUUAAGAUGGAAAAAAAAAAGAAUUAAAUGAUGAUUUUGGUUUUGAUGAGCACCCAUAUAAUUCAGGAUAAGUCAUCACCAAGAACAACAACGGCAAUAGAGUUUGUUGUCAGAAUCUGAAAAUUAUAAUAAUGAGAGGAAACAAUAGUUCAAAAUGAAUUAAAAAAUUAAACAAAAUAGAUACAAGAUAACAUCUAAUAAUUAUUACCUUAUAUAAUGUUCAAUUCGUAUUAAUAUUGUAUAUUAACACGAAGAUAAAUGAUAUGCUUUUAUAUAAUUUUUAUCAAAAUAUUUAUAUAAUUAAUAUUGAAAAUAAAUAAUUAAUAAUAUAUAAAUUAUAUUGUUAAUUAUAUUUUAUUUUUAGUAAUUAUUUAAUUUAAUGCAAAAUAUAAUAUAAAUAUUUUUACAAUGUAUUAAUAAUAUAUAAAAUAUUUGUUAUUUCUAAGGGUAAAAUUAUCAUUUGUGAUCUAUUACUUAUCUAUUCUUUAUUAUUAUUCUAUCCUAUCAAAUAAUACAAUAAUAUUAUUAGUUUAUUUUACUCCUUUAUUCUAUUUCUACCGAAUAGCUAUUCAAUGAAUCAAAUUACAUAAUUCUAUUAUUUCUCUAAUUUAUUCCCGCCAUCUAAUUAAUAGCUUAUUCUAUUCCAGCCAACUGUAUGACAUUCAUACUGACUGAGGAUACAAAAAACAAAAAACAUUAGCGCAAUAUUUUGUAGGUAGUUGAAAUGGUAGGAAAAUUUCAUUUGUAAACCUGUCUAACUAAAUGUUUAGUUUUACAUAUUGUUAUGUGAUCCUUGAACAUAAGAAUAUUUGUCACUAGGGAUACUGGGAUUAAGUUUUGGGGUUCUAAUAAAAUUUUCAAAAAUUUUAGUAGUUUAAUGAAUUUUAGUAGUUUUGGGUUUAAUAUUGUUAUGCUUACUUUUUGUCUCACGCUACAGUAUCGCUACAGUAUCUAAUCUCACCGCCACCGCUGUUUUUCCACUAACAUAAGUAAAUACACCGCCCAUCCGAACUCACCUUUAGUCUUUUGUUGAGGUUUGAUUAAAGGGCAAUGGGUGGUGGGUAAAUAAGUUAGCGGGGUAAGAAUGUAAUUUGCGUUUUUCUAUUUUGUUGAAAUGAUAUUUUAAAAUUAAAUUACAUGAAGGAAUAGAAAUUUGACAGUUGGAAAUAAGGUUUUUUUUUUUGCCACAAAUGAGGAUUUUUAGAUGGAAAACGUCUUAUUUAAUGUCUUUUAUUGCUUAGUUUUGAAAAUGAGAAGACUAAAUUAUUCUAAUAUUUGGAGAGCGGGAUUAAUUUGUUCAAAUUUGGAAAUGAGAGGGACUGAAGAAAUUGUUUUUGGGGUACAGAUAAUCAAAUAAUUGUAACAGAUAAAAGAAUGCUCCUAGUCCUAAAAAAAAGAACAAGAACCCCUAAACACUUACUGGAAGAGGGAAAAACAGGCAGGCAGCCAAGCAAGCAUGCGAAUGUUUGUGUAAACAUAUAGAAAAUAUAUCACAAACACGGAGUGAUGCUGCGUCUUCCUUCCCACAAUCAACGCUUCCAUCUCCUCAUUCGCAAUCUCUCUUCCUUUGCCUCCAAUACUACCAUUUUCAUGACCUCCAAACACUUCCUCCCUUCCCCUCUGCUGCCUCAAACCCUUUCUCCUAAACACUUCUCCACCCCCUCUAAACGCCUCCUUCCCUCUCUUUCUUCCAAACCCAUCCCCAACAACCAUUCUUUCUGGCUCAGGACU